AUGUAUAUACCUACAAAAUAGCAUUAAUGAACCAGAUCCCAUUAGAACUCUGUAGUUAAGCACGCUCAGGCUAGAGUAGUACUAGGAUGGUUGACCACUCGGGAAGUCCUAGUGUUUUACAUG
rfam:Picea glauca, whole genome shotgun sequence.